GCCCUGGUGGUGAAACUGGUAGACACGCUAUCUUGAGGGGGUAGUGCCGAAAGGCAUCUCGGUUCGAGUCCGAGUCAGGGCA
rnacentral:tRNA from 1 species